AGUGAACGCUGGCGGUAGGCCUAACACAUGCAAGUCGAACGGCAGCACAGUAAGAGCUUGCUCUUACGGGUGGCGAGUGGCGGACGGGUGAGGAAUACAUCGGAAUCUACUUUCUCGUGGGGGAUAACGUAGGGAAACUUACGCUAAUACCGCAUACGACCUACGGGUGAAAGCAGGGGGUCUUCGGACCUUGCGCGAUUGAAUGAGCCGAUGUCGGAUUAGCUAGUUGGCGGGGUAAAGGCCCACCAAGGCGACGAUCCGUAGCUGGUCUGAGAGGAUGAUCAGCCACACUGGAACUGAGACACGGUCCAGACUCCUACGGGAGGCAGCAGUGGGGAAUAUUGGACAAUGGGCGCAAGCCUGAUCCAGCCAUACCGCGUGGGUGAAGAAGGCCUUCGGGUUGUAAAGCCCUUUUGUUGGGAAAGAAAAGCAGCAGGUUAAUACCCCGCUGUUCUGACGGUACCCAAAGAAUAAGCACCGGCUAACUUCGUG
rnacentral:rRNA from 1 species